rnacentral:pre_miRNA from 1 species
AAUCAUAAAAUAUUAAAUAGUUACCAAUUUACUACCACACCUAAUACAAAUGAUGAUUGUUGUGAAAAAAAAAAAAAAAAAAAUCAUUUGUAUUAGGUGUGGUAGUAAUAUGGUAACUAUUUAAUAUUUUAUGAUUA